AAGAAAGACUAUACUAAACUAGGAACUAGACCGGGAACUGGCUCCAUAAAGUAACUACUACUAGAAGAAUAAUAAAUGCUAAACAAUACUCAGCGUUGAAUGGUGGCGUGAGACUGAUUUAUAUAGUGUGUGUUAUUGGUAGCAGCUGUGUGUAAUUGGUUUCAGGUGAACUUGUGAUUAAUGCAACAGAACAUGGGAAAUGUAGUCCAGGGUGACUGUCUGUGUAGUGUGAAAGUCCAUGUGGAGAGCGGGGGACCUAUGGUGAAUAAACACACUUUAAAUGUGCAACGCCCAUUUGUGAAUUCUUCACUGCACACUGGAAAGUGUUACACAUAUACGAGAUGAAUAAUCUGUUCAGAGUAAAUGGAUUCCUGGAGGAGAUGCAGCGGUCAGAGGUCUCCUAAAGAGCAUCAUCUAACCCAAAGCAAACAGCAAUAAAUACCAUCUUUAAUGUCAUUAACAAAUGAUUGUUAAACAUAAUAAAAAAGAAAAUGUUAUUUGUACAUUCACACAGUUGCAGCCAUUAAAUAAAAUACAAAAAAAUCUUGAAUAGUAAUGUUUGAUUACAGUCAGUGUGCGUCAUGUGUAUGUUCCUGUUUGUCCUUAUUUGGUCCUUCCUGUUCCUGUCCCAAUGUAGUUUGAUUGUCUCAUUAGUUCC